GACGAACGCUGGCGGCGUGCCUAAUACAUGCAAGUCGAACGCUUCUUUCCUCCCGAGUGCUUGCCCUCAAUUGGAAAGAGGAGUGGCGGACGGGUGAGUAACACGUGGGUAACCUACCCAUCAGAGGGGGAUAACACUUGGAAACAGGUGCUAAUACCGCAUAACAGUUUAUGCCGCAUGGCAUAAGAGUGAAAGGCGCUUUCGGGUGUCGCUGAUGGAUGGACCCGCGGUGCAUUAGCUAGUUGGUGAGGUAACGGCUCACCAAGGCCACGAUGCAUAGCCGACGGGAGGGGGUGAGCGGCCAAAGUGGGACUGAGACGCGGCCAAAACUCCUAGGGGAGGCGGCAGUAGGAAAUUUUCGACAAGGGACAAAGGUCUGACGGAGAAACGCCGGGAGAGGAAAGAGGUUUUUCGGAUCAAAAAACUCUGUUGUAAGAGAAAAAAAAGAACGUAAGAAACUGAACGCCCCAUGACGGUAGAAAAAAAGAAAGCCACGAAAACCUAGGUG
rnacentral:rRNA from 1 species